AUUGAACGCUGGCGGCAUGCCUUACACAUGCAAGUCGAACGGUAACAGGUUAAGCUGACGAGUGGCGAACGGGUGAGUAAUGUAUCGGAACGUGCCCAGUCGUGGGGGAUAACUGCUCGAAAGAGCAGCUAAUACCGCAUACGACCUGAGGGUGAAAGCGGGGGAUCGCAAGACCUCGCGCGAUUGGAGCGGCCGAUAUCAGAGUAGGUAGUUGGUGGGGUAAAGGCCUACCAAGCCUACGAUCUGUAGCUGGUCUGAGAGGACGACCAGCCACACUGGGACUGAGACACGGCCCAGACUCCUACGGGAGGCAGCAGUGGGGAAUUUUGGACAAUGGACGCAAGUCUGAUCCAGCCAUGCCGCGUGCGGGAAGAAGGCCUUCGGGUUGUAAACCGCUUCUGUCAGGGAAGAAAAGGUUCUGGCUAAUACCUGGGACUCAUGACGGUACCUGAAGAAUAAGCACCGGCUAACUACGUGCCAGCCGCCGCUGUAAGAC
rnacentral:rRNA from 1 species